CAGCGCUUGGGGCUGCCCUGGGGUUUGCAGACGGUGAGGGUGUUGGCUGGGCUUUGCCUUCAUCCACUGAAAGGCUGUGCCUCCCAGCGGCCACCACUGCCAGGCUGGUGGCACACGUGGUAGGAACAAGGAGGUCGAUUGCAGGAUUCUGGGCAGUGUCCAGGGGAAGUGGCUGCCAGGUUCCCUUCCUCCUGGUCCAGCCUCAGGAGGCAGCCAGCAGGAGCCCUGGGCCGAGUCUGCACAGGAGCUGGUAGGUCACAGGAGGGCUCAGGGUCACAGUGCCGUCGGGAGGGAGGCAGACUCACUUUAUGACAAGGGCUCUCGUGACAGCUGGCCCCUCCUGAGAUCCCACCCUGUCACUUCCCAUCGGGCCCCUCCCCACUGUCGCACUGGGGCUCAGUUUCCAACUCAUGAACAUGGCGGGCACAUUAGACAGUGCCCAGCCGUCCCCUGACCACUUACUCUGGCUCUGGGUAUGCGAGGACCGCGGACCCCUCCUUGCUCUGAGUCAGAGCUCUGCAAACUUGAGGUGCGUGAGAAUCACCAGGAAACCUUGCGAGACCCAGACUCGUCCUCCCUCCUGAGCUGCAGGUGGGGCAGCAAGAAUGGACAGAGUGAGAGGUCAGCAGAAGAUACUGAAGGACAGAGAGGGGGGCAGGGGCUUGUCCUGGACGGUGGCAGGAGUCACGGAUAACAACGAGUGAACUGGGGCUCCCCAGGGGCCACAUCAGUCUUCUCUUCUGUGGCUCCUCCACGUCCACCCCACCUGAACACUUGCUGUUCCCUGAGCAGAGCAUUGCUCACCCCACUGACCCACUGAUAGCUCCGUAGGCCAGGCCCUGGGUGUGGCUGAAGCUGCUGAGCCCCAGGGGUUCCUGGGGCAUCGAGGGCUGAGAGUCCCCUCCCCUCCUCUCCGAGCACCGUGCCUCUGCCACUGGUGAGCCCGUCCCCAGCGCUGCGGCAGGACCUGCUCCCUGG
rnacentral:lncRNA from 1 species